GACGAACGCUGGCGGCGUGCUUAACACAUGCAAGUCGAACGGAAAGGCCCUGCUUUUGUGGGGUGCUCGAGUGGCGAACGGGUGAGUAACACGUGAGUAACCUGCCCUUGACUUUGGGAUAACUUCAGGAAACUGGGGCUAAUACCGGAUAGGAGCUCCUGCUGCAUGGUGGGGGUUGGAAAGUUUCGGCGGUUGGGGAUGGACUCGCGGCUUAUCAGCUUGUUGGUGGGGUAGUGGCUUACCAAGGCUUUGACGGGUAGCCGGCCUGAGAGGGUGACCGGCCACAUUGGGACUGAGAUAAGGCCCAGACUCAUACGGGAGGAAGCAGUGGGGAAUAUUGCACAAUGGGCGGAAGCCUGAUGCAGCAACGCCGCGUGCGGGAUGACGGCCUUCGGGUUGUAAACCGCUUUCGCCUGUGACGAAGCGUGAGUGACGGUAAUGGGUAAAGAAGCACCGGCUAACUACGUG
rnacentral:rRNA from 1 species